AUUGAACGCUGGCGGCAGGCCUAACACAUGCAAGUCGAGCGGAUGAAGGGAGCUUGCUCCUGGAUUCAGCGGCGGACGGGUGAGUAAUGCCUAGGAAUCUGCCUGGUAGUGGGGGAUAACGUCCGGAAACGGGCGCUAAUACCGCAUACGUCCUGAGGGAGAAAGUGGGGGAUCUUCGGACCUCACGCUAUCUGAUGAGCCUAGGUCGGAUUAGCUAGUUGGUGGGGUAAAGGCCUACCAGGGCGACGAUCCGUAACUGGUCUGAGAGGAUGAUCAGCCACACUGGAACUGAGACACGGUCCAGACUCCUACGGGAGGCAGCAGUGGGGAAUAUUGGACAAUGGGCGAAAGCCUGAUCCAGCCAUGCCGCGUGUGUGAAGAAGGUCUUCGGAUUGUAAAGCACUUUAAGUUGGGAGGAAGGGCAGUAAGUUAAUACCUUGCUGUUUUGACGUUACCAACAGAAUAAGCACCGGCUAACUUCGUG
rnacentral:rRNA from 1 species